AACGAACGCUGGCGGCAUGCCUAACACAUGCAAGUCGAACGAGAUCUUCGGAUCUAGUGGCGCACGGGUGCGUAACGCGUGGGAAUCUGCCCUUUGGUUCGGAAUAACAGUUGGAAACGACUGCUAAUACCGGAUGAUGACGAAAGUCCAAAGAUUUAUCGCCAGAGGAUGAGCCCGCGUAGGAUUAGCUAGUUGGUGUGGUAAAGGCGCACCAAGGCGACGAUCCUUAGCUGGUCUGAGAGGAUGAUCAGCCACACUGGGACUGAGACACGGCGCGGACUCCGACGGAGGGCAGCAGUGGGGAAUGUUGGACUAUGGGCGAAAGACUGAUCAAGCGAUGCCGGGUGGUUGAUGAAGGCCUUAGGGUUGUAAAGCACUUUUACCCGGGAUGAUAAUGACAGUACCGGGAGAAUAAGCUCCGGCUAACUCCGUGCCAGCCGCCGCCGUAA
rnacentral:rRNA from 1 species